rnacentral:tRNA from 1 species
GGGUGAUUAGCUCAGUUGGUAGAGCAGCUGACUCUUAAUCAGCGGGUCGCAGGUUCGAUUCCUGCAUCACCCACCA